UACGUAGGAGGCAAGCGUUAUCCGGAAUUACUGGGUGUAAAGGGAGAGUAGGCGGCAUGGUAAGUUAGAUGUGAAAGCCCGGGGCUUAACCUCGGGAUUGCAUUUAAAACUAUCAAGCUAGAGUACAGGAGAGGUAAGUGGAAUUCCUAGUGUAGCGGUGAAAUGCGUAGAUAUUAGGAAGAACAUCAGUGGCGAAGGCGACUUACUGGACUGAAACUGACGCUGAGGCUCGAAAGCGUGGGGAGCGAACAGGAUUAGAUACCCUGGUAGUCCACGCCGUAAACGAUGAGUGCUAGGUGUCGGGGGGGAACCCUCGGUGCCGCAGCUAACGCAAUAAGCACUCCACCUGGGGAGUACGACCGCAAGGUUGAA
rnacentral:rRNA from 1 species